ACUCUCUUGCCUGCGCACAACAUCUCUCCUUGUACCUAAACUCUCGCCUCUGUGAAACCAUCUCUCUCUACCUAAACUCUGGCAUCCCUCUCUCUCCCCCGUGAGCCUGCUCCCACCCUCUCCAAUCCCAUGAGCCUCCUCACAUUGUCUCUCUCUCCAGUGAGCCUCCUCGUCUCUCUCUAUUGUGAGCCUUAUCAUCUCUGUGUUUCAUCUCUGCAUAUUAUUAAUCCGCCAACUCCUAAAUCUAUGGACUUUUACGAUUUUACAUCAAAAUGGAUUAUGCAAAUCGUACAAAAUUGCAUCUCGGACGUGGCAGUUUGGAGAUCAUUCACAGGUGCAGUAAUUUUUUAUUUGAAUAUUGGGGAUUUAGGUUUACAUUUUUGUGGAUUUAAUUAUGUCUUUGUCUUGUACAUUUACAAUGGAAUUUUUACCCAUAUUUCUUCACCAUUGUCACUCUGCAAACGAUUCCAAUAUUUCUUUUGCUUUGCCAUCACCAUUGUCACUCUAUAAAAUCUCCAUCUUGAUUUGUUUUCUCUAUCUCUCGCAUCUUUGUUGAAUCCAAAUUUUCCUUCUUGAUUUGUUUUCUCUAUCUCUCGCAUCUUUGUUGAAUCCAAAUUUUUAUAAGAAGAGGCUCAAAUCUGUGGUAAAAACAACUCCAAAUACCAAAGUAAUAUGGUUAUGAAUUUAGAUUUUCAUUUUAUCGAUAUUGUUCUUAUUUCCUUUAUGUGACAAUUUGGGGAAAGUGUUUAUUUUCUUUGCCUGCAUAUUUUAAUGUUUGGUUCUGUGAAGUCCUAAUUUAGAGAUUUUUUUUUUUUUUUAAAUUGUUGAAUGGCAUCCAUCGAUGUUGCUAUGUUAAGUGAUUGAUUUUUUGGUUUAAAAUUGUCGAGUGGCAUCCAUUGAUGCUGCUCUGUUAAGUGAUUGAUUUUUUUUCAUAAGGUUUGUUAAUGGUUCAAACAGGGUGGAAUUCAUGUUGCUCUGUGAAGUCAUAAUUUGGAGAAAUAUUUUACCGAGAUCGUCGAAUGGCAUCCAUUGAUGUUGCUCCGUUAAGUGAUUGAUUUUUUUUCAUUAGGCUCUAACAAUGUCAUCUUAUUCUACAAGUAAUCGAGGAUAUACAACUCGACGAUGCCCAAAGUGCAGUAUAGAUUGUGCUAAGAAACCUAAAGCAAGCCAAAAUAACCCGAACAAGAUGUACUAUAAAUGCUCUAUAUGUGGGUUCUUCCAAUUGUGUGAUGAAUAUAAUACCGUCGUGUCAAUUUAAGACGAUGCAAUACACGACAGUGGAGUCCAAUGAAAGAAUUAGAAAAACGUGUCAUGCUCAAUCAAGAAACAAGUGUUGGCAAUGAUACGAUACUCAUUGCCAUAGAGCGCAUGCAUCAAUUCUUACUCGAUGCCUUUGGGUGUUUGCAACAAUUUUUGUAUUUCUUGUGCAUAAUAAAUGUGUGCUUGCUUGCACUCAUCUUUUUUAUUUUUAUAGUCGAUUAGAAAGAUGUGAUACUUUCUGACUUGGAAUUUGCUUUUUUACAGGGUUGCCUUUUACUAAUGUAAUUAUUCCUAUAGUAGAAUUAAUUUAUUCUUCUUUUAUGGAAAAUGUUGUAGUUGAAAGUAACAAAAGGGUUCUUUUGGUAAUAUAAACAUAUAUUAUUUGUCAUGCAAUUCCAAUUCGAGGA